AUUGAACGCUGGCGGCAGGCCUAACACAUGCAAGUCGAGCGGAUGAAGGGAGCUUGCUCCUGGAUUCAGCGGCGGACGGGCGAGUAAUGCCUAGGAAUCUGCCUGGUAGUGGGGGAUAACGUCCGGAAACGGGCGCUAAUACCGCAUACGACCUGAGGGUGAAAGCGGGGGAUCUUCGGACCUCGCGCGAUUGGAGCGGCCGAUAUCAGAUUAGGUAGUUGGUGGGGUAAAGGCCUACCAAGCCGACGAUCUGUAGCUGGUCUGAGAGGACGACCAGCCACACUGGGACUGAGACACGGCCCAGACUCCUACGGGAGGCGGCAGUGGGGAAUUUUGGACAAUGGGGGCAACCCUGAUCCAGCCAUGCCGCGUGCGGGAAGAAGGCCU
rnacentral:rRNA from 1 species